rnacentral:rRNA from 1 species
UACGUAGGGUGCGAGCGUUAAUCGGAAUUACUGGGCGUAAAGCGUGCGCAGGCGGCUUCGCAAGUCAGACGUGAAAUCCCCGGGCUUAACCUGGGAAUGGCGUUUGAAACUACGGAGCUGGAGUGUGGCAGAGGGAGGUAGAAUUCCACGUGUAGCGGUGAAAUGCGUAGAUAUGUGGAGGAAUACCGAUGGCGAAGGCAGCCCCCUGGGCCAAUACUGACGCUCAUGCACGAAAGCGUGGGGAGCAAACAGG